ensembl:snRNA
AUGUUGUAUGGUAAUCGAGAAGGUUAUCACUUCCCUCAGUAAGAAUGGAAGAGAUCCUAGUGGUCUAUGCAGCACACAUAUGGUUAAGGCAUCUAACUAAGCUUUUCU